GAUGAACGCUGGCGGCGUGCCUAAUACAUGCAAGUCGAGCGAACAGACGAGGAGCUUGCUCCUCUGACGUUAGCGGCGGACGGGUGAGUAACACGUGGAUAACCUACCUAUAAGACUGGGAUAACUUCGGGAAACCGGAGCUAAUACCGGAUAAUAUAUUGAACCGCAUGGUUCAAUAGUGAAAGACGGUUUUGCUGUCACUUAUAGAUGGAUCCGCGCCGCAUUAGCUAGUUGGUAAGGUAACGGCUUACCAAGGCGACGAUGCGUAGCCGACCUGAGAGGGUGAUCGGCCACACUGGAACUGAGACACGGUCCAGACUCCUACGGGAGGCAGCAGUAGGGAAUCUUCUGCAAAGGGCGAAAGCCUGACGGAGCAACGCCGCGUGAGUGAUGAAGGUCUUCGGAUCGUAAAACUCUGUUAUUAGGGAAGAACAAAUGUGUAAGUAACUAUGCACGUCUUGACGGUACCUAAUCAGAAAGCCACGGCUAACUACGUG
rnacentral:rRNA from 1 species